UACAGAGGUCUCAAGCGUUGUUCGGAUUCAUUGGGCGUAAAGGGCGCGUAGGCGGCGCGGUAAGUCGGAUGUGAAAUCUCGGAGCUUAACUUCGAGACUGCAUUCGAUACUGCCGUGCUUGAGGACUGGAGAGGAGACUGGAAUUUACGGUGUAGCGGUGAAAUGCGUAGAUAUCGUAAGGAAGACCAGUGGCGAAGGCGAGUCUCUGGACAGUUACUGACACUGAGGCACGAAGGCCUGGGGAGCAAACGGG
rnacentral:rRNA from 1 species